AACGGUCUAUACCUGCGGUACCUGCGGAGGGAUCAUUAAUGAGAAACUGCCCCUCGCGGGUAGAUCUCCCACCCUUUGUAAACUUACCUUUGUUGCUUUGGCAGGCCCGUCUCCGGACCGCCGGCUUCGGCUGGCCAGUGCCUGCCAGAGGAUUCUAAAACUCUGUCUGUCAGUGUUGUCUGAGUCUAUAUACAACCGUUAAAACUUUCAACAACGGAUCUCUAGAUCGGAAGAGCACAC
rnacentral:misc_RNA from 1 species